rnacentral:rRNA from 1 species
AACGAACGCUGGCGGCAUGCCUAACACAUGCCAGUCGAACGAGACCUUCGGGUCUAGUGGCGCACGGGUGCGUAACGCGUGGGAACCUGCCCUUAGGUUCGGAAUAACUCCCCGAAAGGGGUGCUAAUACCGGAUAAUGUCUUCGGACCAAAGAUUUAUCGCCUUUGGAUGGGCCCGCGUUGGAUUAGCUAGUUGGUAGGGUAAAAGCCUACCAAGGCGACGAUCCAUAGCUGGUCCGAGAGGAUGAUCAGCCACACUGGGACUGAGACACGGCCCAGACUCCUACGGGAGGCAGCAGUGGGGAAUAUUGGACAAUGGGCGAAAGCCUGAUCCAGCAAUGCCGCGUGAGUGAUGAAGGCCUUAGGGUUGUAAAGCUCUUUUACCCGGGAUGAUAAUGACAGUACCGGGAGAAUAAGCGCCGGCUAACUCCGUG